rnacentral:rRNA from 1 species
GACGAACGCUGGCGGCGUGCCUAAUACAUGCAAGUAGAACGCACAGUUUAUACCGUAGCUUGCUACACCAUAGACUGUGAGUUGCGAACGGGUGAGUAACGCGUAGGUAACCUGCCUGGUAGCGGGGGAUAACUAUUGGAAACGAUAGCUAAUACCGCAUAAUAUUGAUUAUUGCAUGAUAAUUGAUUGAAAGAUGCUAUUGCAUCACUACCAGAUGGACCUGCGUUGUAUUAGCUAGUAGGUGAGGUAACGGCUCACCUAGGCGACGAUACAUAGCCGACCUGAGAGGGUGAGCGGCCACACUGGGAGUGAGACACGGCCCAGACUCCUACGGGAGGCAGCAGUAGGGAAUCUUCGGCAAUGGACGAAAGUCUGACCGAGCAACGCCGCGUGAGUGAAGAAGGGUUUCGGAUCGUAAAGCUCGGUUGUAAGAGAAGAACGGGUGUGAGAGUGGAAAGUUCACACUGUGACGGUAUCUGACCAGAAAGGGACGGCUAACUACGUG